CGGCAGGUAGGGUCGGAGGGUCAGCCGUCCUCCUUCUCGAAACCGGCUACACGCGAGGACCAGCAACGCGAGGGUAAAAUCAGCCCUGAAGGGCACGCCUGAUGCGAAAAGGAUGAACCCGCGCCGUCGGGGGCCUUUCCAGACGCGACCCGUAUCCGAAGGGAUGCGGGGACGCGCCCAAUGGUCGAAUCGGGCCAGGCCCGGGAGGGAGCAACCCUAAGGUCAGGAUAUGACGCUCCGGCGAUAACGAGGGCGACCGAUCACUUCAGAAGCGACCCUCUGGGGUUGAUGAAUUCCUCGCGAGCUGCCG
rnacentral:SRP_RNA from 1 species